GAUUCUUUGAAGGGGAUUAGACAUCCAGUUCAGGUACAUGAGGGAGCCCAGGCCCGAGCAACCCAGCCUUAGGCAGGGACACAUGCUCACACUCUGCAGCCAGUCUUGGAUCGGAUCAACAUUUGAAGUUAAGAGGACCAGGGGACACCGAAGACAAUUUGGACUAGGAGCCAAGGCUCAGACUCCACCCAGGACCCCCUUGGAAGCAG
rnacentral:lncRNA from 1 species